AUACACAUACACAUACACAUACACAUACACAUACACAUACACAUACACAUACACAUACACAUACACAUACACAUACACAUAUACAUAUACGUAUACAUAAACAGUGUAAAACGAAUUUUCAUCUAAUUAGAAUGAAGUAGCUACUGUGUCAUGUGAACUUAAUGUGACAUUUAACGAUGUUCCUGUGUUGGCGGUAAGGUCACCUUAUAGUAUGGUGAAGAUAUUGAAAUCCUUUGUGGAUUAGUUUAUGUCUGUUUUGGAAAGAUGUGUAUCAUUUGAUACACUAACAUUACAGGGAAUUUUAAUCCUUACGAUACAAGAUCUGUUGCAUAUAUGAUAUAUAUGUAUAUGCUGCAAUAAUGAUAAUCAUAUGUUGAUGAAAAGUAAAUAAUAAGUUUUUACCAAUUCAGAUAAUUAAGUUGGUUCUCUUUAAACGUAUCCAGAUGUGAGAUUCUGACUCGUGGCACAGAAGAAGUAAUUGGACCUUCUUGGACAAUUGUGUGAAUUUGGUCAGAAACAUAUAACACUUAAGUAGGGACAAUAAUUCUAAAACAGGAGUCUGGUUCUCCAGUGUCCCGUGUGAUAGAAAACCAGUAGGACCCCGGUGUUGUAUAUACUCCUUCAUCCCUAGCAUCAAUCCCCCAGUCCUCUGCUAGUCCUUUUUUCAGUCCCUAGUCCCUCCAGUACCUCCUGUUUACAAAGAGCUGGGGUGUAAAAUUAUCCCUUUUAGAUAGACUUUAUCAGCAGGUUAGUAUAUACCAUCAGAUGGCAGUAGUGUGGUACUUUUAAACAAGGAAAAACGUAUUGAAACAUUGGCACCAGAAUUAUAAUGCAGAAACCUUGAGUUUAACAUAACAAUACAGGAAAUUAUAAUUACUCAGAAAAUUAUUUAAAGACUACUGUAUUUGUGGUGUCAAUAUGAGCACAAUUAGUGGCACAAAGUCAAGCUCAAUAUGGAAACCCAGCCACGGAAAGUUUCAAGUGUUGUGAUGUGGUCUUGGACAAAGGACAGUCGAAGAGUUUUGUUGGAAUUGUGUGUGUGUGUCGAGUUGUGUAUUUUUGUAGGUGGCCAUGGAAUGACCAAGUUUUAUAAUAAGUGUUGUGUCAAUCCAUACUAAUGUGAUUGGACACCAAAGGUCAAGCUUUCUAUCAGUGAAUAUUAUGGUUUUCACUUAAUAGAUGUGAUAUACACUUGGAGAUUUCUAAGAGUAAAAUACUCAUGCUGCACAAAAUGUACCAGUUUCUUUGAAAGGGUAAAGAUGUGAUAGACAAGAUUUCUUGUUGGUGUGUUAUAAACUCUCCUAUCAACAUUUAUCCAUGUAAAGAUGAGAGAAAUCUUCAAGGACUCACAAAGGUUUUGCAUGGCAAUGGCUUGAUAAAAGUGAAUCCCUGUUCUAGUCCCUGGUUUCUCCUAAAGGUAGUGACCUGAAAUUUAUACAUCUGUAGAGUAUUUGAAGCUAUGUUAUAGACAUUUUUAAAUGAAAGAUUUAUUAUAUGUAAAGUAUUUCGGUUUGUGAUCAAUUUACUCAUACCCAGUUGAGUUGAGAAUUAACUCACCAUUGCCAGCAGUUGAUGACACUAAGUCAGUGAAUGGAGCCGAGUUAUUUUGCGGCUGUUGUUUUGACUUGGACCCGCAUUGUCAGCUCUGCACCCUUGGGCCAUAUUUUUUGUAUAAAUGUACCUUAUCACUGAAUGUAUUAAAUUGUCAUUUUGAAGAUAGUUUCCUAUCUAUAACCUUCUGCGUAUUUCCAUAUCCAGACAUGCCAUUAGACACCAUAUGAUUUGAGGGUAUAUAACAAAUUUCUUCUUACUAUUAAGGAAUGAACAUCUCCAUUUAUCAUUAUAUCAGAAACCCAAAGAAAGCUGCAAUAAGCAGAGUUGAAUUUAAGGGAGAAUAUUUUUUUAUUCCAUCACCUUUGCAAUUAUCGAUCAGCUUAAGUAGAUCAAAUUAAGAAACAAUGUAUGACACAUUUCAUUCACGUAAAGUGCAAAUAUGACCACAAAGCAAGUAUGCAUGCGUUUCUUUCGGAAACAGAGCCAGACAACCAAACUUACAUUUAAAUUCUAACAGUGUAAAUCAAGAGAGGAAAUGGUAGAACAAAUAUAAAAAAUAUUUCACUACUUCUUAUUACUGAUAGGUUAGGUGUUUAAAAAUGGAAUUACACUCUUAUAGAACUACCACUUUGCUCAUCAAUGAUGUUCUUUGCAUCAGUUCCAUGUGACACUCCCUGUGUAUUAUUUUGUAGAAAAUAUAACACAGUAAAGUUAUAAAUCUCUAAUACCUGCUUUCAGAUGGACGUCCAUUGGCGUAAGCAAUGAACAAGACAAGUCAUUUGUACCAUUACAAAUGAAGAAACUUUCGUGUACACCAACUGAAGUGGGAAGCUUCUUCACAAUGGCUGGUCCAACCAACAAAACAGAAGCCAACCAUUACACAAUGAACCCCACUAAAGGAGGAGACUCAUGGUGUCCCAGAUGUUGCAUAUAGCCUUCCUAUUGAGAGAAGUCUGGGGACCCUCAACAACAGGAACAUUAGUCAAUGAAAUCAACUCUGUAACAUUAUCUUGAGAAAAUAAAAGAACAUAUUU
rnacentral:lncRNA from 1 species